UAUGCCAUUACACUUGCUUAAUGUUUUAGAGUUGCCAUUGCUGUGGCUUUGGGUGUUACAAGUUUUUAACAGAUAAUGUGAUCUUUUUGGCAUGUUGGAACCUGGAUGGUAGUUUUUUAUCUCAUACAAAUAGCACGAAAAAUUAAAUGUUGCUUCUUUGAGGGAGUAUUUUGCAGAGUGCUCGUGUUUCUGAGAUUAUAUGAUAGAUAAACACUAUUGUGUUCAAUACACUUUAUCAGUUAUUGGAAAAUUUUUUCUUCGGUUCCUUUUCUUGCUCACUUACUCCUGUGUUAUUUGUUGCCAUGUUGUAAUUUUUGUACGGCCCUACAAAUUUGUUUAUUUCUUUACUUUUCCUUUGUAUCAAUGAUCAGUAAUCCAUACUGCAUUGUUGUGCGAUAUUUAUAGUUUACUGAGUUGGUAAAACUUUCCUGCCAGAACUUCUUUAAUCAUGUGCAUCAACUGUUACUGUAAUCAUUUCAAAAUUCAGUCUUUUUCUUCUGUUGCAAGCAUUCAUGAAAUAUAUAUGUAUUCAAACUGUUAUUGUUUUCUUUUCAAAGUUUCUUCCUAUCUGGACAACUAGAGCACAAUGCUUCUUUGUAGCUUGUUCUAUAUUCUUAUUUUGUGGAUGUUUCACCCUCUUUUUCGUAAGUCAAGUGUGGAGUGUUAUGGGGUUGUGAAAAUGGAUGUAUUUGUUUUCAGUCAAGUUAAUAGUGAUAUGCAUUUCAUUGUCAAAUGAUUUUAAUAAUUA
rnacentral:misc_RNA from 1 species